AGCGAACGCUGGCGGCAGGCCUAACACAUGCAAGUCGAACGGAUCCUUCGGGAUUAGUGGCGGACGGGUGAGUAACACGUGGGAACGUGCCCUUUGGUUCGGAACAACUCAGGGAAACUUGAGCUAAUACCGGAUGUGCCCUUCGGGGGAAAGAUUUAUCGCCAUUGGAGCGGCCCGCGUCUGAUUAGCUAGUUGGUGAGGUAAAGGCUCACCAAGGCGACGAUCAGUAGCUGGUCUGAGAGGAUGAUCAGCCACAUUGGGGCUGAGACACGGCCCAAACUCCUACGGGAGGCAGCAGUGGGGAAUCUUGCGCAAUGGGCGAAAGCCUGACGCAGCCAUGCCACGUGAAUGGUGAAGGUCUUAGGAUUGUAAAAUUCUUUCACCGGGGACGAUAAUGACGGUACCCGGAGAAGAAGCCCCGGUUAACUUCGUGCCAGCCGCCGCGGUAA
rnacentral:rRNA from 1 species